CGAUAUGCUCACGACUACUACGGUAGACGUGAGAAAAGGUGGCCUCUGGCAUAAGCUAUCGCUUGGGGAUGUGCUCGCGGACCAUUAGCUAGUUGGUAGGGUAAUGGCCUACCAAGGCUACGAUGGUUAGCUGGCCUGAGAGGGUGGCCAGCCACACUGGAACUGAGAUACGGUCCAGACUCCUACGGGAGGCAGCAGUGGGGAAUCUUGCGCAAUGGGGGAAACCCUGACGCAGCAACGCCGUGUGAGUGACGAAGGCUUUCGGGUCGUAAAGCUCUGUCAGAUGGGAAGAAUUAGUUUGCUGAAAAUAUCGGCAAAUGAUGACGGUACCAUCAAAGGAAGCACCGGCUAACUCCGUGCCAGCAGCCGCGGUAAUACGGAGGGUGCAAGCGUUGUUCGGAUUAUUGGGCGUAAAGCGCGUGUA
rnacentral:rRNA from 1 species